AUUGAACGCUCGCGGGAUGCUUUACACAUGCAAGUCGAACGGCAGCGCGGACUUCGGUCUGGCGGCGAGUGGCGAACGGGUGAGUAAUGUAUCGGAACGUGCCCAGUAGCGGGGGAUAACUACGCGAAAGCGUAGCUAAUACCGCAUACGCCCUACGGGGGAAAGCAGGGGAUCGUAAGACCUUGCACUAUUGGAGCGGCCGAUAUCGGAUUAGCUAGUUGGUGAGGUAACGGCUCACCAAGGCGACGAUCCGUAGCUGGUUUGAGAGGACGACCAGCCACACUGUGACUGAGACACGGCCCAGACUCCUACGGGAGGCAGCAGUGGGGAAUUUUGGACAAUGGGGGCAACCCUGGUCCAGCCAUCCCGCGUGUGCGAUGAAGGACUUCGGGUUGUAAAGCACUUUUGGCAGGAAAGAAACGUCGCGGGCUAAUACCCCGUGGAACUGACGGUACCUGCAGAAUAAGCACCGGCUAACUACGUG
rnacentral:rRNA from 1 species